CUAGUUUCAUGACAAUAACUUGUUUGUAAGUGUAUGGAUCUUUAUGAAAUUGUACUACAAGGUUCCAUAUCACAAAGGGAAAGCUGGGUUUGAGUUUGGGGUUAAUUGCCCUAAACGUUUAGGAAUUUGGGACCAAAAAGGGGCCAAAAAACAAGCAUUUUUCUAGUUUCCAGACAAUAACUUGUGUUCAAGUGUAUGGAUCUCUCUGAUAUUGUACUGCAAGGUACCAUACCACAAAGGGAAAGCUGGGAUUGAGUUUGGGGGUGAUGAAUCAUAAGGGGGUUCAAAAAAUUUGGGGGGGGAUUUUUUUUUCCUUUUUUUUCUUUAAAAUUUUCCAUUUUAAAUUGGUUAUUU